UUACUGUGGUCCCCUGUGUCCCUGUGUCCCCGUGCGUGCACCUGGGCACCGCUGUGUGUGUGUGCGCACGUUCCUGUGCGUAUACACCCGUGUGUCCAGGUAGGCCCGGUGUGCACGCCUGGGUGUGUGUGCACGCGUGGGCCUCACUGUGCACGCACCCACCGCAAACCUCGGCCAAGGAGAAAAGCUCCCAGGACCCCUGCCCCUGCCGGGUGAGGAGGAUCAGAAACCAGGACCCUGAGGCCUCAGACCUCCCCUACUCAAAGUUCAGGGGCCCGGAGCCGCCAGGGAGGCUGGGGAGGGAGGGCCUGAGGAGGCCGCGCUGGCAGCUAAAUUUGUUCAUCCGGCCUGUCAGUCCCUUAAUCUGGCCCCUGAGGAACAACGCAGAGGCUUCACUCGAGAUGACAAACGAGGAGGGGAGAGGCCUGCCCUGCCUGGACUCCGGCCCCAGCCAUGACCAUGUAAGCAAGGUGAUACCCGGAGGGAGUCCCCACACCCCCUUUUCAUCCUCAGACGGGCUUGUGGCCAGACCUGGGAAUCCUGGCUCAACUUGCGCCAUCAUCUGCUGCUCUGCCCUCCGGUCCCACUCAGUGCUCGUGGUGCUGUCGGCUCCUACACUUUGCUGGCUCCAGGAUUUCCCAGGAGCCUCUUCAUGCAAGGAAAUAGCAUCCCAUGAACUCUGAACAUCUGCAAAAUGCCGACCUAGAGCGAUGUCUGAAUGUGGGCAUGAGCGAGAAGCGCCCGCAGACCAGGCCCCGCCCUGGCGUGGAAAGGGAGCCGAUGGAUGGGGAGCAGCCGACAGGGGAGAGGGGGACCUCAGGACGGCGAUGGACAGAUUGAAGUCGACGUGCCAGGAGGCAGGGAAUUCAGUCCCGCAGCAGGAAGAGGGGCCGGUACUGAUCACACAUGCCUUCACUGGUUCAGCAAAUACAGUGUGGCACACCCUGUGGUAGGCGCUGGGGACAUCCCAGGGGCGAGACUGAAAGCCCUCCUCCCCAGCCGCAGACAGACACCAAAGGGCAGAGCUCACAGCCGCAGUCUCUCUCACCAGCUUACUGGGGAAUCGCAACUCCUCAGGGUGCUGAGUUGAAAUAAGGUAGGUGUUCCAGGCACAGCCCUCGGAGGCCCGUUUCCCACUGGAAGGGGCAGCUCACUUCCCAACAUCCGGCCAGAUUCCCAGCCUUCUCCACCCCCCCAGGGCAGAGCCUUCUCCUUCUGGACUUUGUCCCCUGAAACUCCACGUUCCUGCUUGAUAAAAUCUCUUCUCCCCUCCCUGAGCUUGGGCUGAGCUUCAGAAGCUUGAAUGGGGUUGGGAGUGCGAGUGAGGGCGGUUCUGCAGUGCUGGGGGAGGUGGAAGCAAAGGGGCCCUUGCUCCUGAUUCAUCUGGGCCGGGGAACCCUGGACCAGAGUCCAGACCCUAAGGUGGCUACACCUCCUUUUCAUUGAGAAGGAGAAAUGCCAGAGGGCCAACCUGCGGGGUCGGGAGAGUCCCUCAGGCUGGUUCCCUGGACACAGGGGCUUCCCUGGCUCAGGAAGGCCUCAAAUUUGGUUUAAUGCCACAGUCUUAAGUUUUGUUUUAUUUUAUUUUAUUUUAUUAUUUUUGGCUGCAGUGUGAUGUGGGAUCUCAGUUCCCAGACCAGGGAUUGAACCUGGGAUGCAGCAGUGAAAGCCCUGGAUCCUAACCACUAGACCACCAGGAAACUCCCUUGCAAUUUUUUUUUUUUUUUUUGGCUUCCCCUGUGGUUUGUGGAAGUUCUUGGGCCAGGGCUGGCAUCUGUGCCACAGCAGCGAAAACACCCAAUCCUUAACCACCAGGCCACCAGGCAACUCUGAAUUUCUUAAUAACUAUUGAACAAGGGGCCCUUCUUUUUCAAUUUGCCCUGAAACCCUGGCAUAUUACGUAGUCGGUCCUGUCCGUGAGGCACGUAUUACAGCAAUGUACAGCUGGCAGUGUCAUAUUGUGCUGCACUUUGUCCCCAAAGCCUGGAGCCACCAGUCUCUUUCACACUCAGGGCCAACCCUCAGGCCUGUGGACGUAUGUGAGAAGGCCCCCUGUAAAUGAUCGGGGACCAGGAACCUCGGGGGGUGGGGGAAGGACGGGCCCUGCCCCACUCGGCACUGCCACCCACUGUCCCUUUAAGGGGCCCCAGCUGGUCUGUGAGCCCUCUUGCCAAAUUGACCUCUACUGGGAACAAAAUGCCAGUCCCUCCCUCUCCCAGCACCCCCAUUCCUGAGCAAAGAUUUCCUUGAUUCCUCCAAGGAUCCCACGCCUCACUCCCUCCCGCUUGGCUGGAGCCGCGAUGGAAGACGUUUCCUCUCCCUCCCAAUCUCUCUCUUCUCUGCACGUGUGGCACGUGGAAGUUCCCUCGGCCAGGGACCCAACCCGCACCAGCGCAAUGACAGUGUCAGAUCUUUAACCCACUGAGCCACCAGGGAACUCCUUUUGGGGGGGUAGCGGAGGAUGGUAGAGAAGAUGUCCCCUCCACCAGCCCUGUGACACCCCAAAGGCCCUCCUCCCCGUCCCCUUUCCCUUUCCACUCGGAGGAGGGGCCAUGGGGGAGCGUGGCCUCUGAUAGGGUCCUGCAGGGAGCCCUGCACUGUGGGGCGGGUCUGGGGCAACUGCCCACGUGACUAGGCUGUAGAGACAAAGUCCCUUAAACAGGCAAGAGCCCCUGCAACAGAGAAAUGGUUGCUCUGAAGAAGAUACAAGAGGGUGAUGUGACAGAGAUAAGAGAUGCUGCUGGGACAGUGGCCUCGCCAUCACAUUCUCGGGAGAAGCAGAUAAGGAACAAGAGCACCCACCACCAAUAAUAAACAAAAUCAGGGCUUCCCAUUGUGGUGCAGUGGAAAUGAAUCCCACUAGGAAACAUGAGGUUGCGGGUUCAAUCCCUGGCCUUGAUUAGUGGGUUAAGGACCCAGUGUUGCCUUGAGCUGUGGUGAAGGUUAUAGACGUGGCUUGGAUCUGGCGUUGCUGUGGCUGCGGUGUGGGCGGGCAGCUACAGCUCCGAUUAGACCCCUAGCCUAGGAACCUCCAUAUGCCUCGGGC
ensembl:lncRNA